GGACCGACGUGAAAGCAUACGCUUAUAACUACAAGUCAGGAUAUGAGGUGUAUUUCCAGCUCAGUACAGAGAUUGGUCAGGGCUGGGACGCCCAUA
rnacentral:lncRNA from 1 species